CAGGAACCGUACCGACAGGACCUUGUCCUUUACCUAUACCUCCGGUUGGAGGUUGGAACCCUGCAAGCAGAGCGUGUAUGAGAAAAGAACCUCUAUGUCCCGAGGUACCUAUGAAACCGCUCUAUUGGACGAGGAUCCUGGUACCAGUGGUGCCCACGGAACGUGGCUCCAUCGACGCUGUGGAUUCUGCCGCUCAGCAGGGUCCACUAUGGGCGGAACUAGAGGAAGAGACAAAUC